rnacentral:tRNA from 1 species
GUCCACGUAUAUCAGUUGGAAGAUAGUUUGACUUCUACGCGAAGCGCGCGAGCGACGCGCGAGUCAUCAAAAGGCCGCGGGUUCGAGCCCCGUCGUGGACA